rnacentral:rRNA from 1 species
AGUGAACGCUGGCGGUAGGCCUAACACAUGCAAGUCGAACGGCAGCACAGUAGAGCUUGCUCUUACGGGUGGCGAGUGGCGGACGGGUGAGGAAUACAUCGGAAUCUACUUUUUCGUGGGGGAUAACGUAGGGAAACUUACGCUAAUACCGCAUACGCCCUACGGGUGAAAGCAGGGGAUCUUCGGACCUUGCGCGAUUGAAUGAGCCGAUGUCGGAUUAGCUAGUUGGCGGGGUAAAGGCCCACCAAGGCGACGAUCGGUUGCUGGGCUGAGAGGAUGAUCAGCCACACUGGAACUGAGACACGGCCCAGACUCCUACGGGAGGCAGCAGUGGGGAAUAUUGGACAAUGGGCGCAAGCCUGAACCAGCCGUACCGGGUGGGUGAAGAAGGCCUUCGGGUGGUAAAGCCGCUUUGUUGGGAAAGAAAGGCAGCGGGUUAAUCCCCCGCUGUCCUGACGGUACGCAAAGAAUAAGCACCGGCUAACUUCGU